UGUAUCGGAAGCCUGACGAGGAUGAGAACCUCCGGGGGCAAGAGGUUCGACCCGAGCGAAGCGAGAGAACGUUGCGUCAGCAACGGCCCGCAGGGCGAGCCAUCCUCUAUCACCGGCAG
rnacentral:sRNA from 5 species